rnacentral:rRNA from 1 species
UACGAAGGGGGCUAGCGUUGCUCGGAAUCACUGGGCGUAAAGCGCACGUAGGCGGAUUGCUAAGUCAGGGGUGAAAUCCUGGAGCUCAACUCCAGAACUGCCUUUGAUACUGGCGACCUUGAGUCCGGGAGAGGUGAGUGGAACUGCGAGUGUAGAAGUGAAAUUCGUAGAUAUUCGCAAGAACACCAGUGGCGAAGGCGGCUCACUGGACCGGUACUGACGCUGAGGCGCGAAAGCGUGGGGAGCAAACGGG